GAUCGUCAAAUUUGGGUAUAGGGGCGAAAGACUAAUCGAACCAUCUAGUAGCUGGUUCCUGCUGAAGUUUCCCUCAGGAUAGCAGAAACUCAUGUCAGAUUUAUGUGGUAAAGCGAAUGAUGAGAGGCCUUGGGGAUGAAACAUCCUUAACCUAUUCUCACACUUUAAAUAUGUAAGAACGAGCCGUCGUUUGAUUGGACCGCUCGGUGAUUGAGAGUUUCUAGUGGGCCAUUUUUGGUAAGCAGAUCUGGCGAUGCGGGAUGAACCGAAAGUGAGGCUAAGGUGCCGGAAUGCACUCUCAUCAGACUCCACUAAAGGUGUUAGUUCAUCUAGACAGCAGGGCGGUGACCACGGAAGUCGGAAUCCCCCCAGGAGUGUGUAUCCACUCCCCUACCGAAUGACCUAGCCCUGAAAAUGGAUGGCUUCAAGCGUGCUACCCAUACCUCCCAGAGGAUGCUGAAGUGACACAUCGACGAGUAGGCAGGCGUGGAGGUAGCGUGAAGAAGCCUCGGCAG
rnacentral:rRNA from 2 species